GACGAACGCUGGCGGCGUGCCUAAUACAUGCAAGUCGAGCGGACGGAUGGGAGCUUGCUCCCAGACCGUCAGCGGCGGACGGGUGAGUAACACGUGGGCAACCUGCCUGUAAGACUGGGAUAACUCCGGGAAACCGGGGCUAAUACCGGAUAACUCUUUCCCUCACAUGAGGGAAAGCUGAAAGAUGGCAUCUCGCUAUCACUUACAGAUGGGCCCGCGGCGCAUUAGCUAGUUGGUGAGGUAACGGCUCACCAAGGCGACGAUGCGUAGCCGACCUGAGAGGGUGAUCGGCCACACUGGGACUGAGACACGGCCCAGACUCCUACGGGAGGCAGCAGUAGGGAAUCUUCCGCAAUGGACGAAAGUCUGACGGAGCAACGCCGCGUGAGUGAUGAAGGUUCUCGGAUCGUAAAACUCUGUUGUCAGGGAAGAACAAGUACCGGAGUAACUGCCGGUACCUUGACGGUACCUGACCAGAAAGCCACGGCUAACUACGUG
rnacentral:rRNA from 1 species